rnacentral:rRNA from 1 species
UACGUAGGGUGCGAGCGUUGUCCGGAAUUAUUGGGCGUAAAGAGCUCGUAGGCGGCCUGUUGCGUCGGUUGUGAAAGCCCGGGGCUUAACCCCGGGUCUGCAGUCGAUACGGGCAGGCUAGAGUUCGGUAGGGGAGGUCGGAAUUCCUGGUGUAGCGGUGAAAUGCGCAGAUAUCAGGAGGAACACCGAUGGCGAAGGCACUUUACUGGGCUAUUACUAACACUCAGAGACGAAAGCUAGGGUAGCAAAUGGG